rnacentral:rRNA from 1 species
GAACCUUACCAGGGCUUGACAUCUUCUGACCGCUUAAGGAAACUUAAAGCUUUCCGGAAGGUUUACUUUUCUGGACAGAAAGACAGGUGGUGCAUGGUUGUCGUCAGCUCGUGUCGUGAGAUGUUGGGUUAAGUCCCGCAACGAGCGCAACCCCUACGGUUAGUUGCUAACGGGUAAGGCCGAGCACUUUAGCCGAACUGCCGUUGACAAAACGGAGGAAGCGGGGAUGACGUCAAAUCAUCAUGCCCUUUAUGUCCUGGGCUACACACGUGCUACAAUGGCCUGUACAAAGGGCAGCAAAGGGGCGACCCGGAGCAAAUCCCAAAAAACAGGUCUCAGUUCGGAUUGCAGGCUGCAACUCGCCUGCAUGAAGGCGGAAUCGCUAGUAAUCGCAGGUCAGCAUACUGCGGUGAAUACGUUCCCGGGCCUU